rnacentral:rRNA from 1 species
CCUAACACAUGCAAGUGGAACGGCAGCGGGGAAAAGCUUGCUUUUCCGCCGGCGAGUGGCGCACGGGUGCGUAACGCGUAUAGAACCUACCCUUUACAGGGGGAUAGCCCGGAGAAAUUCGGAUUAAUACCCCGUAGUACUGAUUUGAGGCAUCUUAUGAUCAGUUAAAGUUUCGGCGGUAGAGGAUGGCUAUGCGUCCUAUUAGCUAGUAGGUGAGGUAACGGCUCACCUAGGCAACGAUAGGUAGGGGCCCUGAGAGGGGGAUCCCCCACACUGGUACUGAGACACGGACCAGACUCCUACGGGAGGCAGCAGUGAGGAAUAUUGGACAAUGGUCGAGAGACUGAUCCAGCCAUGCCGCGUGCAGGAAGACGGCCCUACGGGCUGUAAACUGCUUUUUUACGGGAAGAAUAAUGGUGACGUGUCACCAGAUGACGGUACCGUACGAAUAAGGACCGGCUAACUCCGUGCCAGCAGCCGCGGUAAUACGGAGGGUCCAAGCGUUAUCCGGAAUCAUUGGGUUUAAAGGGUCCGCAGGCGGGUCAGUAAGUCAGGGGUGAAAGUUUGCGGCUUAACCGUAAAAUUGCCCUUGAUACUGCUGGUCUUGAGUUGCGGUGAAGUGGCCGGAAUAUGUGGUGUAGCGGUGAAAUGCAUAGAUAUCACAUAGAACACCGAUUGCGAAGGCAGGUCACUAACCGCAUACUGACGCUGAUGGACGAAAGCGUGGGGAGCGAACGGGAUUAGAUACCCCGGUAGUCCACGCCGUANACGAUGGACACUAGCUGUCGGGGCG